GGGAGAAUCUGUUGCCUGCCAGUUCCAACUUCUAAAGGCUGCCCCUUUUCCUUGGCUUUUGGUCCUGUAUCACGCUGACCUCUCGUAAGAACCUUCGUGAUUACUUCCAGCCCAUCUAGAUAACCCAGGAUAAUCUCCCCAUCUCUAGAUCCUUAACUUCAUUGGAUCUGCAAAGUCCCUUUUGCCGUGUAAGAUUGAGGCUGAGACCUAAGGAGGGUUUCCAUCCAGAUGCACAAAGGGGAAGCAGCGAUGGCCAUUCCAUCAACCUGGAUUUGAUAAAACUCACUAGGAGGCGUGGAUCUAGAUGGGCACUCAGGAGCAUGGCACACGUGCUGGCUGCGUUGUUGUCGAGCCACCUGCCUUGUCAUCUGGACUACUGACGUCUUCCCGUUGGUCGGGAUCAAAACUGACCAUUGCUAAGCCUCCCUGGCCUUCGGGAUGGGCCCAUCUCGCAGACCCCCUGCUGAGCCAGGCCUGCAGGGACUUCAUGCUGGUCCCAGCCCUGCCCUCCACCUUGGUGUCCUGCUCUGCCUCGCCAAAGAAUUCUGCAACAGAAUACCAGGCAUGUCUGCACGCCCCCGUCUGGAGCAGAGGCGGGGUGAGACACUCUGGUCUGUUAAAGAAUGUGUUAGGGGCCUGCCAUGGCAGAGUGGUUAAGUUCACGUGCUCCAAUUUGGAGGCCCAGGGUUUCACUGGUUCGAUCCUGGGCGUGGACAUGGCACUGCUCAUCAGGCCACGUUGAGGCUGCAUCCCACAUUCCACAACUAGAAGGACCCACAACUAAAAAUACAUACAACUGUAUACUGGGGGGAUUUGGGGAGAAAAAGCUGAGAGAAAGAGAAAAAAAGGAAGAUUGGCAACAGUUGUUAGCUCGGGUGCCAAUCUUUUAAAAAAAAAAAAGAUGGGGCCGCCCCGUGGCCAAGGCUUAAGUUCGUGUGCUCUGCUUUGGGUGGCUGGGGGUUUUGCUGGUUUGGAUCCUGGGUGCGGACAUGGCACUGCUCACCGAGCCAUUCUGGGGUGGCGUCCCACAUGCCACAACUAGAGGGACCCACAACUAACAGUA
rnacentral:lncRNA from 1 species